rnacentral:rRNA from 1 species
GAGUUUGAUCAUGGCUCAGGAUGAACGCUAGCGGCAGGCUUAAUACAUGCAAGUCGAGGGGCAGCAGCUUUAUAGCAAUAUAGAGGCUGGCGACCGGCAAACGGGUGCGGAACACGUACACAACCUUCCUUGAAUAGGGGGAUAGCCCAUAGAAAUGUGGAUUAAUACCCCGUAAUAUAGCGGUGUGGCAUCACACUGUUAUUAUAGUUUCGGCGAUUCGAGAUGGGUGUGCGGCUGAUUAGGUAGUUGGCGGGGUAAAGGCCCACCAAGCCUUCGAUCAGUAGCUGAUGUGAGAGCAUGAUCAGCCACACGGGCACUGAGACACGGGCCCGACUCCUACGGGAGGCAGCAGUAAGGAAUAUUGGUCAAUGGACGCAAGUCUGAACCAGCCAUGCCGCGUGAAGGAUGAAGGUCCUCUGGAUCGUAAACUUCUUUUAUAGGGGGCGAAAAAAGGUCUUCUAGAUCACUKACAGUACCC